rnacentral:rRNA from 1 species
GAGACAGCAGUCGCCGCGGUAAUACGGAGGGUGCAAGCGUUAAUCGGAAUUACUGGGCGUAAAGCGCACGCAGGCGGUCUGACAAGUCAGAUGUGAAAUCCCCGGGCUUAACCUGGGAACUGCAUUUGAAACUGUCAGGCUGGAGUCUUGUAGAGGGGGGUAGAAUUCCAGGUGUAGCGGUGAAAUGCGUAGAGAUCUGGAGGAAUACCGGUGGCGAAGGCGGCCCCCUGGACAAAGACUGACGCUCAGGUGCGAAAGCGUGGGGAGCAAACAGGAUUAGAUACCCCAGUAGUCCCUGUCUCUUAUAC